ACUAAUCAAAAAUAAAAAAUAAAAAAAAAUAACACUUGAUCGGAUACACGUGAAGGGGAAGGGUUCUUCAAACACUUGGUCUUCAAUAGAUUGAAUCUGUGGAGAUCGAGACGCAUGGCAGUCGAUUGAUGCAGUCCGCUUCCUUCCUCAACAAAGCAAUCACGCUUUCCAUUGAAUCAAUUUGCUGCCCCUCAUUUUCAUCAGCAGCCAAUCUUUUCCUUUUUUUGGAGCUCUUUUCUGGAAAGGUAGAGGAAGAAAUGCUGAUGCGCAAGUUCUAUGAACUCAUGGCUGCCCAAGGUCUAACCAAAAAGGUACAGAAAACUUUAUAGGGCAAUCUCAUGAAGACAAAGAACCAGAUGCACAAGUCUCCAACAAUUUGAAAAGCUUGCAAAAGGAAAAGGGGUGGAGGACGGAAAAGAGAACUGAGCUAUAAAUUGGUAUGCUCCCAUUCAAAUGCGUGGCAUAUGAAAUUCCUAAGAAAUAAAGACUAAUAAGCAUUUACAGAGCUUCACAGUUGCUCCACUUCAACAUAUGGGUCUAUGUUGUUAAAGAACUAGUGUACAAGUGAGGUUGUCCAAGAUUGGUGAAUCUCCUGCUUAUGCGUGUGAAGGCCUCUCUUUUUUUCUACACAGAAGAUGUAAUGAGAAAGCAGAAUUGGUUCAAAGAAGAUAAAGUCAAAGCAUUAUAAUAAGGUAGACACUAUGUGAUCCCAGAAUUGUCCAAUGUCCAUGUUGAAUUUUUCACUUCAACUCAAAAGAUUAGAGCCACCAAAAUUCAUGAUGACUAAUUUGUGAGUUUUUUUGGGUUAUUUAUAUGGGAAAAGAUUAAGAGCUCACUUACUUUCAACUUGUGAAAAUCCACUAUUUCUUAUUUUUACAGCCCUGGGUGAACAAAUUUGUCUUCCUAUAAAAUUUAACUAUUUUUUACUUUGGUGUUUCCCAUCUUAGAUAUAAGGAUAUUUCACAAAGUUUGUAAAA